rnacentral:rRNA from 1 species
GACGUAGGGGGCGAGCGUUGUCCGGAUUCACUGGGCGUAAAGGGCGCGUAGGCGGUUACGCAAGUCCGAUGUGAAAAGUCACGGCUCAACUGUGAUCGUGCAUCGGAUACUUCGUUGACUUGAGGUCGGUAGAGGCAAGUGGAACUAGCGGUGUAGCGGUGAAAUGCGCAGAUAUCGCUAGGAACGCCGGUGGCGAAGGCGACUUGCUGGGCCGUACCUGACGCUGAUGCGCGAAAGCUAGGGGAGCGAACCGG